AUGUUGUUGUCAUGUUGUGUUGCUGCUUUGCUAUGUUGUUGUCUCUCUUUGUGUAGUGUUGUCCCUCUUGUUGUGAUGUGUGUUUUGUCCUAUAUUUAUAUUUAUUUUUAUUUUUUAUCCCAACCCCUGUCCCACAGGAAGCCUUUUGUCUUUUGGUAGGCUGUCAUUUGUUCUUAACUGACUUGCCUAGUUAAAUAAAAAUAAAUAAACAAAAAAACGGGAGAAAAGGGAUGGAACAUUUGUAAAAUACCGGGAAAAUAUUCAAAUUUAGUUAAAAUGGGAGUGUCGCCUUGUUAACGCGGAGAGGAAGAGGCAAAGCGAGAGUGAAAUCUCUCGCCAAAAUCUGUCCAAAAUAAACCUAAUGUGUUUCCAUGGGUUUAUUUUGGAUCUAAACUUGUUGCCGGCCUGCCCACCUUUGGGACAAUGACUCCCAUUGUUAAAGUGGAAACAUGAGCAUCUCGUCAUUAUAUACAGAUCUUGUAUAUAAUCCAGAAGCAGAAAUUGCAUGAUAGGCUCGCUUUCCAUUUCCCCUGAAAACGAGAACAUCCGAUUUGGUAGAGACUAUUAUGAGUGUACUGGUAGGACAGGUGACAUCCUGGAAAUUUUGAGAAAAAAAAAAUACAUUAUGUGCUGUAUAGGAGUUGUGCCUGCUGUUCACACGCGUAUCGACCCUCUGGUUGGCUAGAAUGGUCCCGGCUGAUCUCACCUCCUCCCGCUUGCCUUCCAUCUUUGAGGUAGUCCCAUUGUUAGAGAGGUCACAUGUCUAUCCUGUCAAUGGACUUGUUUGAGUGGUAAGGCCAAAGAAAAAGACUUGCAGACAAAAGUCGAGGAGUGAAGUCUGGGGGAGGUGCAUCUGCUACAGACAAAAGUCGAGGAGUGAAGUCUGGGGGAGGUGCAUCUGCUACAGACAAAAGUCGAGGAGUGAAGUCUGGGGGAGGUGCAUCUGCUACAGACAAAAGUCGAGGAGUGAAGUCUGGGGGAGGUGCAUCUGCUACAGACAAAAGUCGAGGAGUGAAGUCUGGGGGAGGUGCAUCUGCUACAGACAAAAGUCGAGGAGUGAAGUCUGGGGGAGGUGCAUCUGCUACAGACAAAAGUCGAGGAGUGAAGUCUGGGGGAGGUGCAUCUGCUACAGACAAAAGUCGAGGAGUGAAGUCUGGGGGAGGUGCAUCUGCUACAGACAAAAGUCGAGGAGUGAAGUCUGGGGGAGGUGCAUCUGCUACAGACAAAAGUCGAGGAGUGAAGUCUGGGGGAGGUGCAUCUGCUACAGACAAAAGUCGAGGAGUGAAGUCUGGGGGAGGUGCAUCUGCUACAGACAAAAGUGGAGGAGUGAAGUCUGGGGGAGGUGCAUCUGCUACAGACAAAAGUGGAGGAGUGAAGUCUGGGGGAGGUGCAUCUGCUACAGACAAAAAGCAGACACUGAUGUGGAUUUCCAACCGCAAGGCUCAGUGCAACAUGGCAUUUUUUAUGAAAGGAUUUGUAUUUAUUUAUUUAAUAUCGAAAUAAACAUGUUUCCAACCCCCAUAUCACACAUUUACAAACUUAAAAUCAUGUGUGAGCCUCAAAUAUCACAUUCAUUUGUACAUAUCCACUGUACACAUGUGAAUCGUGGCAAAGUUGCUUCCUGUUUUUAGUCACGUCUUUGGUCACUUUAGUGUGGGUCAAACAAUAACAACC